rnacentral:tRNA from 1 species
GGAGGGGUGUCCGAGUGGCUUAAGGAGCUCGCUUGGAAAGCGAGUGUUGCGUUUUGGCGUACCGUGGGUUCGAAUCCCACCCCUUCCG